AGAACGAACGCUGGCGGCAUGCCUAAUACAUGCAAGUCGAACGAACACUUCGGUGUUAGUGGCGCACGGGUGCGUAACGCGUGGGAAUCUGCCCUUGGGUUCGGAAUAACAGUUGGAAACGACUGCUAAUACCGGAUGAUGACGAAAGUCCAAAGAUUUAUCGCCCAGGGAUGAGCCCGCGUAGGAUUAGCUAGUUGGCGAGGUAAGGCUCACCAAGGCGACGAUCCUUAGCUGGUCUGAGAGGAUGAUCAGCCACACUGGGACUGAGACACGGCCAGACUCCGUAGGGAGCAGCAGUAGGGAAUAUGGACAAGUGGGCGCAAGCCUAGAUCCAGACAAUCGGCCGCGUGGAGUGGGUAGGAAGGUCCGUUAGGGUUAGUAAAGUCCUUACGUUUACCCGAGUAUAGAAUAA
rnacentral:rRNA from 1 species